CACACAUCACGUUCAACUUUGCCAUUUCUAGUGCUUUAGACAUAACACAGAUGUAACCAAUCUCAUUAUUUUCAGGUCUAAGUAAAUUAAUCAAUUCAUCAGCUGAAAAAGAUCCUCCUCUCAAAUAAGAGCCAAAGGAGAAUUCCCACCACCACAGCUCUAGGUGUGGUUUCUUCAGGAACAGGAAAAGCUCUGCACAUGCUGUUCAAAAGGACAAUGAGUUCGAAUCUGAAUUCCAACCAAGGAAAAGUGCAUUCAAUCAGAGGACAAACUUGGACAGGCACAGAGACAAGCUACUAUAUGCAGUCUAAUAACUCCAGUUCUACCAUUUGGAAACCAGCAGCAAAGGAAUAAGACAAAGCCACCACAGAAAUGCAUAGAACGGUAGAAGUUAUCCAAGGUAAUUAUUCUGAUGAUGUGUAACUCACAAGUUCUUCUUAAUAGAAGACCUAUGCAAAGGCUAUCCAGAACUCCAGUAGUUCUCAGCUGCUGGCAUGUGACAACAGCUACCAACAAAAAAUAAAAACCAGCCUAAAAUCUGCAUGAUUACUGUAAGCCAGGUCUCAUUUGCAAAGAGUUCAAACCACCAGCCACCUGGAGAAGCCAUGCUCAUUCCUCACUGCUAUCAAGCUAAG